ACACUUAACUGGCAAGAAGAAGCUACGUGUUCAAGAAGGCGGUUCAACCAGGGCGAGGCUCAGCCAUUGCACUGCUGUGCUGACCCUGUGAAUUUUCCCAAAAUGGUGGAAUCUAUUUGAUAUUUAUGUAGUGGGGAGACGCGUCCGCGCUCUCCCCU